GAGCCCGAGACUGCUCCACCGAAAAAGCUCCCUCCUGACUGCUCCACCGAAGAAGCGUGGAAGCGAAGCCAAGGCAGCUGAGAUGGCACAAGCCAUGGCGUCCAUGACCGGCCUCUCGCAGGGCGUGCUGCCCAGCAGGCGCGCCGCCAGCAGGGCUAGGACGGCCGUCGUCAGGGCGUCCGCCGACGGCGAGGCCGGCCGCCGCGCCGUGCUCGGGCUGGUGGCCACCGGCAUCGUCGGCAGCGUCUUCUCCCAGGCGGCGCACGCCGAGGCCGUCAAGACCAUCAAGAUCGGCCCCCCGCCGCCGCCCUCCGGUGGACUUCGUGAGUGCCUGCCUUGCCUGCACCUCAGAAUUGAUGUGUAGCUUCAAUUCCAUAAACUUGCGUCCGCAUCUUCUAGGUACCAUAUAGUAUAAGAUUAUAAGAUUUUGAUUAUUUUUUCAAGAUCUGUAUUUCCUCAAAAAAAAAAAGGCAUCAACCUCUGCAUUUCUUGAACAAAUUAAAAAUGGUGUCGACCCUUAACGAUCAUUGAUAGUAAAGCAUAGCCACUGAUCCAGAGUGAAAAAACCAGAUGUACAAGCAGAUUAUUUUGUGCAAAAUUAGCGCUAUAACUCUCGGAGCACCGCGUGAUUGUGGAACAAAUCCGUCUAACGCAUCUGCUUCUAAUUUACCAUGGCGCAGCCGGGACCUUGAACUCUGACCAGGCCAGGGACUUCGACCUCGCCUUGAAGGAGCGGUUCUACCUGCAGCCGCUGCCGCCGGCGGAAGCCGCGGCGAGGGCCAAGUCGUCGGCGCAGGACAUCCUCAACCUCAAGCCGCUCAUCGACAAGAAGGCGUGGCCGUACGUCAUGAACGACCUCCGCCUCCGAGCCUCCUACCUGCGCUACGACCUCAACACCGUCAUCGCCUCCAAACCCAAGGAUGAGAAGAAGAGCCUCAAGGAGCUCACCGGCAAGCUCUUCAGCACCAUCGACGAU
rnacentral:lncRNA from 1 species